rnacentral:lncRNA from 1 species
GCCACACAAUUGGGUCGCCUGCACAUUGUCACCUUCGCUACUUUCGCCACACAAUUGCGUCGCCUGCACAUUGUCACCUUCGCUACUUUCGCCACAAUUAGAGAGGUAUUUUGAUCCCAUCUAAAUAUUUAUCUUUUUUUUUAAUGUGCUUUUAUACUGUUUUAGCAUAUCUUAUUUUAAAAUUUUCAAAUAUAAAACAUAUUUUUUUAGUAAUAUUUUUUUUUUUAUUUUCACCUAUAUCUACAGUAUCUAAUCUUAUCUUAUCAUAAUACUUAUCACAUAAUAUAUAUAGCAUAUCUUUUAGUAAUAUUUUUUUUUAUUUUCACCUAUAUUUUUCUCAAAUAUUUUUAAAUAUUUUUUUAAUAAUAUUCUUUCUUACUUGUCUCCGUUGUGAGCAGGUACAUCGUGAUUGUCCUCCUCAUUAUCAUCAUCAUUGUCACCGGUACAUUGUCGUUUCCGCUAUCUUCGCCACAACUGGAAAGAUAUUUUGAUCCCAUCUAAAUAUUUCCCUUUUUUUAAAUGUCCCUUUAUAUUGUUUUAGCAUAUCCUAUUUUACUAUUUCCUCAUUUUCACCUAUAUAUUUCUUAAAUAUAAAGCAUAUAUUUUUUUAGUAAUAUCUUUUAUUAUUUUUACCUAUAUUUUUCUUGAAUAUUCUCAAAAUUGUCAUCGUCCUCCUCAUCGUCAUCAUCAUCAUCACCGGCGCCGGCACCGGCACAUGCCUUCGCCAC